GACGAACGCUGGCGGCGUGGAUUAGGCAUGCAAGUCGAACGGUAUCAUCCUUUCGGGGAUGAGAGAGUGGCGAACGGGUGAGUAACACGUAGGUGAUCUACCCUCAAGACGGGGACAACCCAGGGAAACUUGGGCUAAUACCGGAUGUGAGCUAUCGUGAGAUAGUUUGAAAGGUGGCUUCGGCUGCCGCUUGAGGAUGAGCCUGCGUCCUAUUAGCUAGUUGGUGGGGUAACGGCUCACCGAGGCAGUGAUAGGUAGGCGGCCUUAACGGGUGGUCGCCCACACUGGGAUUGAGAUACGGCCCAGACUCCUACGGGAGGCAGCAGUCGAGAAUAGUCUACAAUGGUCGAAAGACUGAUAGUGCGACGCCGCGUGAACGAAGAAGCCUUCGGGUGUAAAGUCUUUAUAUGUGAGCAGUGACAUCUAUAUUAAUAGUAAUGGGUGUAGAGAUAUUAGCAUAUGAAUAAGCAACGGCUAACUCCUGCC
rnacentral:rRNA from 1 species